rnacentral:rRNA from 1 species
GAAACGACUGCUAAGACUGGAUAGGAGAUAAGAAGGCAUCUUCUUAUUUUUAAAAGACCUAGCAAUAGGUAUGCUUAGGGAAGAGCUUGCGUCACAUUAGUUAGUUGGUGGGGUAAUGGCCUACCAAGACGAUGAUGUGUAGCCGGGCUGAGAGGUCGAACGGCCACAUUGGGACUGAGACACGGCCCAAACUCCUACGGGAGGCAGCAGUAAGGAAUUUUCGGCAAUGGAGGAAACUCUGACCGAGCAAUGCCGCGUGAACGAUGAAGUAUUUCGGUACGUAAAGUUCUUUUAUUAGGGAAGAAAAGAUGGUGGAAAAACCAUUAUGACGGUACCUAAUGAAUAAGCCCCGGCUAACUAUGUGCCAGCAGCCGCGGUAAUACAUAGGGGGCAAGCGUUAUCCGGAAUUAUUGGGCGUAAAGGGUGCGUAGGCGGUUAAAUAAGUUUAUGGUCUAAGUGCAACGCUCAACGUUGUGAUGCUAUAAAAACUGUUUAGCUAGAGUUGGAUAGAGGCAAGUGGAAUUCCGUGUGUAGUGGUAAAAUGCGUAAAUAUACGGAGGAACACCAGAAGCGAAGGCGGCUUGCUGGGUCUUAACUGACGCUGAGGCACGAAAGCGUGGGGAGCAAACAGGAUUAGAUACCCUGGUAGUCCACGCCCUAAACGAUGAGUACUAAACGUUGGAUAAAACCAGUGUUGAAGUUAACACAUUAAGUACUCCGCCUGAGUAGUACGUACGCAAGUAUGAAACUUAAAGGAAUUGACGGGACUCCGCACAAGCGGUGGACCAUGUUGUUUAAUUCGAAGGUACCCGAAAAACCUCACCAGGUCUUGACAUGCUUUUGCAAAGCUGUAGAAAUACAGUGGAGGUUAUCAAAAGCACAGGUGGUGCAUGGUUGUCGUCAGCUCGUGUCGUGAGAUGUUGGGUUAAGUCCCGCAACGAGCGCAACCCUUGUUGUUAAUUGCCAUCAUUAAGUUGGGGACUUUAGCAAGACUGCCAAUGAUAAAUUGGAGGAAGGUGGGGACGACGUCAAAUCAUCAUGCCCCUUAUGACCUGGGCUACAAACGUGAUACAAUGGCUGUUACAAAGGGUAGCUAAAGCGUAAGCUUCUGGCGAAUCUCAAAAAAGCAGUCUCAGUUCGGAUUGAAGUCUGCAACUCGACUUCAUGAAGUUGGAAUCGCUAAUAAUCGCGAAUCAGCAUGUCGCGGUGAAUACGUUCGCGGGGUUUGUACACACCGCCCGUCA